UACGAAGGGGGCUAGCGUUGCUCGGAAUCACUGGGCGUAAAGCGCACGUAGGCGGCUUGUUAAGUCAGGGGUGAAAUCCUGGAGCUCAACUCCAGAACUGCCUUUGAUACUGGAUGGCUUGAGUUCGGGAGAGGGAUGCGGAAUUCCAGGUGUAGCGGUGAAAUGCGUAGAUAUCUGGAGGAACACCGGUGGCGAAGGCGGCAUCCUGGACCGACACUGACGCUGAGGAGCGAAAGCCAGGGGAGCAAACGGG
rnacentral:rRNA from 1 species